rnacentral:rRNA from 2 species
CUUACCAUGCAAGUCGAACGGUGAAGCAGGAGCUUGCUCUUGUGGAUCAGUGGCGAACGGGUGAGUAACACGUGAGCAACCUGCCCCGGACUCUGGGAUAAGCGCUGGAAACGGCGUCUAAUACUGGAUAUGAGACGUGACCGCAUGGUCGACGUUUGGAAAGAUUUUUCGGUCUGGGAUGGGCUCGCGGCCUAUCAGCUUGUUGGUGAGGUAAUGGCUCACCAAGGCGUCGACGGGUAGCCGGCCUGAGAGGGUGACCGGCCACACUGGGACUGAGACACGGCCCAGACUCCUACGGGAGGCAGCAGUGGGGAAUAUUGCACAAUGGGCGGAAGCCUGAUGCAGCAACGCCGCGUGAGGGAUGACGGCCUUCGGGUUGUAAACCUCUUUUAGCAGGGAAGAAGCGAGAGUGACGGUACCUGCAGAAAAAGCGCCGGCUAACUACGUGCCAGCAGCCGCGGUAAUACGUAGGGCGCAAGCGUUAUCCGGAAUUAUUGGGCGUAAAGAGCUCGUAGGCGGUCUGUCGCGUCUGCUGUGAAAACUGGAGGCUCAACCUCCAGCCUGCAGUGGGUACGGGCAGACUAGAGUGCGGUAGGGGAGAUUGGAAUUCCUGGUGUAGCGGUGGAAUGCGCAGAUAUCAGGAGGAACACCGAUGGCGAAGGCAGAUCUCUGGGCCGUAACUGACGCUGAGGAGCGAAAGGGUGGGGAGCAAACAGGCUUAGAUACCCUGGUAGUCCACCCCGUAAACGUUGGGAACUAGUUGUGGGGUCCUUUCCACGGAUUCCGUGACGCAGCUAACGCAUUAAGUUCCCCGCCUGGGGAGUACGGCCGCAAGGCUAAAA